AACGCUAGCUACAGGCUUAACACAUGCAAGUCGAGGGGCAGCAUGAUUGAAGCUUGCUUCAAUCGAUGGCGACCGGCGCACGGGUGAGUAACACGUAUCCAACCUGCCGAUAACUCGGGGAUAGCCUUUCGAAAGAAAGAUUAAUACCCGAUAGUAUAGUUUUUCCGCAUGGUUUCACUAUUAAAGAAUUUCGGUUAUCGAUGGGGAUGCGUUCCAUUAGAUAGUUGGCGGGGUAACGGCCCACCAAGUCAACGAUGGAUAGGGGUUCUGAGAGGAAGGUCCCCCACAUUGGAACUGAGACACGGUCCAAACUCCUACGGGAGGCAGCAGUGAGGAAUAUUGGUCAAUGGACGAGAGUCUGAACCAGCCAAGUAGCGUGAAGGAUGACUGCCCUAUGGGUUGUAAACUUCUUUUAUAUGGGAAUAAAGUUUUCCACGUGUGGAAUUUUGUAUGUACCAUAUGAAUAAGGAUCGGCUAACUCCGUGCCAGCAGCCGCGGUAAUACGGAGGAUCCGAGCGUUAUCCGGAUUUAUUGGGUUUAAAGGGAGCGUAGGUGGACAGUUAAGUCAGUUGUGAAAGUUUGCGGCUCAACCGUAAAAUUGCAGUUGAUACUGGCUGUCUUGAGUACAGUAGAGGUGGGCGGAAUUCGUGGCGUAGCGGUGAAAUGCUUAGAUAUCACGAAGAACUCCGAUUG
rnacentral:rRNA from 1 species